rnacentral:rRNA from 1 species
UACGGAGGGUGCAAGCGUUAUCCGGAUUCACUGGGUUUAAAGGGUGCGUAGGUGGGUUGGUAAGUCAGUGGUGAAAUCCCCGAGCUUAACUUGGGAACUGCCACUGAUACUAUCAGUCUUGAAUAUUGUGGAGGUUAGCGGAAUAUGUCAUGUAGCGGUGAAAUGCUUAGAUAUGACAUAGAACACCAAUUGCGAAGGCAGCUGGCUACGCAUAUAUUGACACUGAGGCACGAAAGCGUGGGGAGCAAACAGG